rnacentral:rRNA from 1 species
UACGAAGGGGGCCAGCGUUGCUCGGAAUCACUGGGCGUAAAGGGUGCGUAGGCGGGUCUUUAAGUCAGGGGUGAAAUCCUGGAGCUCAACUCCAGAACUGCCUUUGAUACUGAGGAUCUUGAGUACGGGAGAGGUGAGUGGGACUGCGAGUGUAGAGGUGAAAUUCGUAGAUAUUCGCAAGAACACCAGUGGCGAAGGCGGCUCACUGGCCCGUAACUGACGCUGAGGCACGAAAGCGUGGGGAGCAAACAGG